AACUUGAUACAGUAGAUAAGGGUUAAGGCCUGAAAAACAAUACUGCAGGUCUUCCCUAAGAGCCUAGAAUCCAACCAGCUAAACCUAACCCUAAAACCUUUUUUUUCCGAAAACCUUAAAGACCCGAAGUCAUGAUUCCCAAUUUUGUCACGCCGUACCAUCGGAAUCAACUAGAAAAGGUCGCCAGAGACUAGAAUCUAUCAAUGCCAUGGAGAAGUUUUUGAAUCUGCCGAUGGAGAAGUGUCGCACCAAUGGGGCCCAUGGUUGAAGGCUCCGACAAAGCUAUUCAAUGGCUUCGGCGACCGUUGGUUGAGAGACGGCAAUGGAAUGGAAAGUCCUUUGUUUGCAGCUAAGAUUUUGUCGGUGGGUGGGGGAGGGUUGGCCAAAUGCAGAGAGAUCAAUAGGCUAUUGUUUGGGGAUUUAAUUUUGGAUCUCAUUCCUCUACUACGAGGGGAAAAGGGCAUUUGAUGCAAAAGCCCAAAAUUAUCGAUUUUGCUAAUAUGGGAAAGAUCUCGAGUGGAACAUCGAAUCUUGGAAAAGCAGUCAAUAUCAAUGUGGGCUCGGAUGUCAUUAUGGACUAAGAUGAGAUUUGUGUAUUGGGGCAGAAUAUGGACCUAAAUACAGAGUUACUAGGUUGCAGGAAAUGGGCCAGGAGGACACCAUUACGAAAUUGGACGAAAAUAAGAAAAGAUAAUGUGCACCCUCACCAAAUCCACUUAGGAUUUGUAUCAGGUGAGUCUUUAGCCAUGCAAACUUCUCAACUUGAUCAUAUUCCAAUGGCGGGACCCAGUCAUCAGGCUUGCCAGGCCUGCCGAAAGUCAUGAAUCGCUUAAGUUGGAAUUGUUGAGAGCUGGGCACCCCUCAUGCAGUGCUUUCUCUUAAAGAGCUUUUUAAAAGUUACAAGCUUAAUAUUGUCUUUCUUAUUGAAACUCUGGCGCACUCUAAUAAGAUUAAAGAAAUAAAAGUGCAUUUUGGUUUUAAUGGUUAUGUUGCUAUUGACCGUUUGGGUCGUUCUAGUGGUUUAGCUGCUUUGUGGAAAGAUAAUAAUGUUGUGCAUGUUUUGAGUUACUCCUAGAAUUAUAUUGAUUUGGUUGUGUCUUUAACAAUAGCCACUGUCGUUUUACUUGUUUUUACGGCUAUCCUGAGUGCAGUAGGUGUGUUGAAUCUUGGAAUCUUCUUAGAAUGGGAAUUUCAAAAAGAAAAUUGAGCUUUUAAAAAAGUAAUGUAGCUCAUUCAGGUACUAUUCUGAAUUCUCUUCGGGAGGAGUUGAAUAGUCUAUUAUCUCAAGAGGAAAUAUUCUAGAAGCAGUGUGACUUUUUGGCUCCAGGAUCACCAGGUUAUUCCAUGCUCAAGCUUCCUCUAGGAAAAGAUAAAAUCACAUUCUGAGUCUGCAAAAUGAUAAUGGUGGGUGGGUGGAUGAUCAGGAAGGACUUAAUAGGUUGGUGACUUCCUAUUUGGUAAUCUUCUCUCUUCAAUUGAUGGUAAUUAUUGUUACAAUGGCUUGUGAUUGCCUGGUAA
rnacentral:misc_RNA from 1 species